AUACGGAGGGUGCAAGCGUUAAUCGGAAUUACUGGGCGUAAAGCGCGCGUAGGCGGGCUGGUUAGUUGGGGGUGAAAUCCCGAGGCUCAACCUCGGAACUGCCCUCAAUACUGCCAGUCUUGAGUUCGAGAGAGGUGAGUGGAAUUCCUAGUGUAGAGGUGAAAUUCGUAGAUAUUGGGAAGAACACCAGUGGCGAAGGCGGCCACCUGGCCCGGUACUGACGCUGAGGUGCGAAAGCGUGGGGAGCAAACAGGAUUAGAUACCCCGGUAGUCC
rnacentral:rRNA from 1 species